AUUGAACGCUGGCGGCAUGCCUUACACAUGCAAGUCGAACGGUAGAGUAGCAAUACUUGAGAGUGGCGAACGGGUGAGUAAUAUAUCGGAACGUGCCCAGUCGUGGGGGAUAACGUAGAGAAAUUUACGCUAAUACCGCAUACGAUCUAAGGAUGAAAGCGGGGGAUUCGCAAGAACCUCGCGCGAUUGGAGCGGCUGAUAUCAGAUUAGGUUGUUGGUGAGGUAAAAGCUCACCAAGCCGACGAUCUGUAGCUGGUUUGAGAGAACGACCAGCCACACUGGGACUGAGACACGGCCCAGACUCCUACGGGAGGCAGCAGUGGGGAAUUUUGGACAAUGGGCGAAAGCCUGAUCCAGCAAUGCCGCGUGCAGGAAGAAGGCCUCGGUUGUAAC
rnacentral:rRNA from 1 species